UACGUAGGGUGCAAGCGUUAAUCGGAAUUACUGGGCGUAAAGCGUGCGCAGGCGGUUGUGCAAGACAGAUGUGAAAUCCCCGGGCUUAACCUGGGAAUUGCAUUUGUGACUGCACGGCUAGAGUGUGUCAGAGGGGGGUAGAAUUCCACGUGUAGCAGUGAAAUGCGUAGAUAUGUGGAGGAAUACCGAUGGCGAAGGCAGCCCCCUGGGAUAACACUGACGCUCAUGCACGAAAGCGUGGGGAGCGAUCCGG
rnacentral:rRNA from 1 species